UGCAAACUGCAAGAGGCAGAGAGAGGGGGAGCGCGGCGGGGCUGGUGUCCUGAGAGGGUCGGAGGAAGAAGAGCCCGGCUCAUGACACUGCUGUGGAGGACGGACGGGGAGGAGGCCGCUGCGACCGCAUGUACCGGAGAUGUGCCUGUGUUCAUCCGCGGCAUCCAGCCAUAUGACCGGAGCUGGCACCGGCUAGGGGCUUUCUGUUAUCUGCUAUACGUGCUCGCAUCGCCCUCGUUCUGACCGGCUUCUUACCUCUGACCUUGUAAAAUUUAGCUGAAGUCUUAUAGCUGCAUGCAAGCCUUAUUUUACCAAGCACAAUGCCAAGUGUCGGAUAGAGUGGGUGUAAAGCUCGGUGCCAGUGGACCCUGGAGCAGUGGAAACGUGUUGUGUGGAGUGAUGAAUCGCACUUCUCUAUCUGGCCUGGAGAACAUUACCUGCCUGACGCAUUGUGCCAACUGUAAAGUUUGGUGGAGAAGAGAUAAUGUUAUAAGGUUGUUUCAGGGGUUGGACUAGGCCCCUUAGUUCCUGCGAAGGGAAAUCUUAAUAUUUCUGCAUACCAAGACAUUUUGGACAUUUGUAUGUUUCCACCUUAGUGAGAACAAUUUAGGAAAGGCUCUUUUCUGUUCCAGCAUGACUCCGCGUAGUGCACAAAGCAAGGUGAGAUUGGGAAGAACUAGAAGAGAGAUUGCAAGCCAAGUCCUCUCAUCCAAUAUCAGAAUCUGGACUCAAAUGUUAUAGAUCAGGGCUGCUCAAUCUGUGGCCCUCCAGCUGUUGUAAAACUACAACUCCCACCAUGCCCUGCUGAUAGCUGUAGACUGUCUGGGAAUGCUGGGAGUUGUAGUUUUGCCGCAGGUUGAGCAUGCCUGUUCUAGACGAAGGGGCAGAAAUUCCCAUCCACACAGUAUCUUGUAGAAAGCUUUCCCAGAAGAGUGGAAGUUGUUGCUGCAAAGGGGGCAACUCCAUAUUAAUGCCUAUGGAUUUAGAAUGGGAUGUCAAAAGCUCCUGUAGGUGUCCCAAUACUAUAGUAUAUGUAGUAGCUAGAGAAGACUGUUGAAUUUUUCAUUAUGAGGAGAGACCAGAAGUAUACUGUACACUGUGUAUCUAUCUAAGUUAUAUAUUGUGAUACUGUAUACUGGGACUGCGCGGUGCCUUGCAGAGCACCUGCAUGAAAUUUGUAUGUUCUCCCUGUGUCUGCUUGGGUCCCACACUCCAAAGACAUUACUGAUAGAGACCUUAGAUUGUCAGCCCUAUUGGGGACAGUGUGAUGCCGAUGUCUGUAAAGUGCUGUGGAAUAUAUAAAAUAAAAAAUACUGUAUACUUA